rnacentral:rRNA from 1 species
GACGAACGCUGGCGGCGUGCUUAACACAUGCAAGUCGAGCGGAGCGGCGAACGGGUGAGUAACGCGUGAGUAACUUCCCCCCUCUCUGGGAUAACAGUUGGAAACGGCUGCUAAUACCGGAUAGUGUGGGAUGAGUCGCGUCCUAUCAGCUUUUUGGUGGGGUAGUGGCCUACCAAGGCGACGGCGGGUAGCCGGCCUGAGAGGGCGACCGGCCACAUUGGGCUGAGGUACGGGCCAAACUGAUACGGGAGGCAGCAGUGGGGAAUAUUGCACAAUGGGGGAAACCCUGAAGGAGCAACGCGCGGGCGGGAUGACGGCCUUCGGGUAGGAAACCGCGUUCAGCCAUGACGCGGUAGUGGCAGAAGAAGCACCGGCUAACUACGUGCCAGCCGCCGCGGUAAUUC